rnacentral:rRNA from 1 species
CGCAGUCGACUACGAGUCGUUGGAGCGUUUCACUUCGCAAACUCUGAUGGCACAGCGAAAGCGAGAACGUGACAUGUCGUCGCUCGCGUCGCCGGGGCCAGUCGUCGAGGCGCGCGCGUGGUGCCUCAAACCAUCGUUCUCGGGUCGAGUCCGCUCUUUCGCGAUCACGUUUCCGCGCGUCGUCGCGUUCCCACUCCGACUCAGGUGUAGCAGGCGGCCGGGGACCCGAAAGAUGGCGAUCCACGCCCAGUCGUGACAAAACCAGAGGAAACUCUGGUGGAAGUCCGAAGCGCCUCUGACAUGCAAAUCAAUCGUCAGAACUGGGUGUAGGGGCGAAAGACCAAUGGAGCCGUCUAGUAGCUGG